CACAGUGACAGGAAACAGCAAAACUCUGUACAAAAACCUUUGGAGCAAAGACAACAGAAUACUCCACAACAUCCACUAGAGGGAGCCACACACUGUUAAACCUCUGAUUCUUGUGUCAUUGGACUGAUGACAAAGACAACAGAGAAAUGAAGCAGUAAAGAUCAGAGACAGAGACAGAGCUGCUGUGGAAGCACAAAACUGUUUGAUUGGCUGAGCUAUUAAACUGGCCCCGCCCACUGAAGUUGAGCUCAUCCAAUGACAUUAUUUGUUGGUCAUUGUGCUGCAGUGGAAGAACAUUGUUCAUGUGCUGUCUGUCUGGCUUUAAUAACUCCAAAGACAUGUUGCUGCACCUCUUUUUGCUUCUAUCUCACAUUAUAGGACUAACAGCUGGAGACUCAAUCACUCCUCAACAACCUGAAGUCAC